UGACCCGGCCGUUCACGACGCCAAAGACCAAAGAACCGGGGAAAGAACCAACCCGCCCCCACCGCCCCCGCAGCUCACCCGCAGGGGUGAACAUCACCAACUCGGCUGGCAUGGAGGGCAGUCGAUGGUGCAGCGUCAGCGCAGACAAGCCCACAAACGAAUACGGCCCCCGCCGGGACUGCCAUCCCACUGCGAGGGCCUGAUCACCAAGGAAGCGAGACCCUUCCCG
rnacentral:ncRNA from 1 species